AUGAUUAUUCGUUCGCCGGAACUAGAAGUAAAAAUUGUUGUGGAUAGGGAUCCUGUAAAAACAUCUUUUGAGGAAUGGGCCAGACCCGGCCAUUUCUCAAGAACACUAGCUAAGGGCCCUGAUACUACCACUUGGAUCUGGAACCUACAUGCUGAUGCUCACGAUUUCGAUAGUCAUACUGGUGAUUUGGAGGAGAUUUCUCGAAAAGUGUUUAGUGCUCAUUUCGGGCAACUUUCCAUUAUCUUUCUUUGGUUGAGUGGCAUGUACUUUCAUGGCGCCCGUUUUUCCAAUUAUGAAGCAUGGCUAAGUGAUCCUACUCACAUUGGACCCAGUGCUCAGGUAGUUUGGCCUAUAGUAGGGAAAGAAAUAUUGAAUGGUGAUGUAGGCAGGGGUUUCCGAGGAAUCCAAAUAACCUCUGGUUUUUUUCAGCUUUGGCGAGCAUCUGGAAUAACUAGUGAAUUACAACUCUAUUGUACUGCAAUUGGUGCAUUGAUUUUUGCAGCGUUAAUGCUUUUUUCUGGUUGGUUCCAUUAUCACAAAGCCGCUCCCAAAUUGGCCUGGUUCCAAGAUGUAGAAUCCAUGUUGAAUCACCACUUAGCGGGAUUAUUAGGACUUGGGUCUCUUUCUUGGGCGGGGCACCAAAUUCAUGUAUCUUGA
rnacentral:rRNA from 1 species